rnacentral:rRNA from 1 species
UAGUCCACGCCGUAAACGAUGCUCACUGGUUCUGUGCGACAUACAGUACGGGAUUAAGCGAAAGUAUUAAGUGAGCCACCUGGGGAGUACGUCGGCAACGAUGAAACUCAAAGGAAUUGACGGGGGCCCGCACAAGCGGAGGAACAUGUGGUUUAAUUCGAUGAUACGCGAGGAACCUUACCUGGGUUUAAAUGGAGAUGGACGUAAUUGGAAACAGUUAUUCUCUUCGGAGCUAUUUUCA